UACGUAGGGGGCAAGCAUUGUCCGGAAUCAUUGGGCGUAAAGAGCGUGUAGGCGGCCCUGUAAGUCCGUUGUGAAAGUCGAGGGCUCAACCCUCGAAUGCCGGUGGAUACUGUCGGGCUAGAGUCCGGAAGAGGCGAGUGGAAUUCCUGGUGUAGCGGUGGAAUGCGCAGAUAUCAGGAGGAACACCGAUGGCGAAGGCAGCUCGCUGGGACGGUACUGACGCUGAGGCGCGAAAGCGUGGGGAGCGAACAGG
rnacentral:rRNA from 1 species